GGAUUUUUCUCCAGGAAAGCAGAGAGACUACAAGGGGCAGCAUCUGCGCAGAGGGCAGAAAUAAAAGCAGUGAUCGAAGCGUUAAAGCUUGCCCAAGGAUCACAGGUAAAUGUGUACACAGAUUGAGCUUAUGUUGCAGGAACAGUGCAUUUGGAACUUUGCCAAUGGAUGAGGUGGUAAGAUGCCAAAAGGGGGCGCCACUUGAAGAGAAAAACCUGUGGAAGCAACGAGGCGCCACUGAAACAAAUGGAUGCUGGAGGGGUCCAGACGGUAGGUUAAUUCUGCCACCUGAAAAAAAACAAGAGCUGCUUCAAGAAGCUCACGGGGUGGGACAUGUUGGGACUAAACAGAUGAUGCAUAAUCUUAAAGACUGGUGGCAUCCCCAAAUGAUCCACAUGGUGAAACAGUUUGUAAACAAUUGUGAAAUGUGUGGACAGUUUAACCCUAAGAAAACUUUGAAGCCACAGCAGGGACAGUUUCCUCCACUCACAUGUCCAGGGAAAGAGGUUGUGUUGGAUUUUACUGACAUGAUAAACACGGUGCAAGGCAAAAAAUAUUUGCUGGUUUGUGUUGAUGCUUUCACAGGAUGGCCUGAAGCGUGGCCAGCAGCGAGAGAAGAUAGCAAAACUGUCAUAAAAUGUCUAAUCAACCAUUACAUCCCCAGGCACGGUUUUCCAGAAAAAAUCUGAUCAGACAAUGGAACACAUUUCAGAAACAAGGACCUGCAAACAGUGGAAGCUCAUCUUGGUUUGAAACACAAGUUCGGUACGGUUUAUCACCCGGAAUCCCAAGGCAAAGCAGAACGAAUGAA